GCCUUUGUGGAUCAUGGUGAUCACCUCAUGCAAAUAGCACGCAAGAUAAUCAUUUGGUUAUUGAGCAGAUGGAGGUUCGAUUCCUCUCGGAGGCA